UGGUCUGUCACUGACGNUGAGGCUCGAAAGCGUGGGUAGCGAACAGGAUUAGAUACCCUGGUAGUCCACGCCGUAAACGAUGAGUGCUAGGUGUUAGGCCCUUUCCGGGGCUUAGUGCCGGAGCUAACGCAAUAAGCACUCCGCCUGGGGAGUACGACCGCAAGGUUGAAACUCAAAGGAAUUGACGGGGGCCCGCACAAGCGGUGGAGCAUGUGGUUUAAUUCGAAGCAACGCGAAGAACCUUACCAGGUCUUGACAUCCCGAUGCUAUUCUUAGAGAUAGGAAGUUACUUCGGUACAUCGGAGACAGGUGGUGCAUGGUUGUCGUCAGCUCGUGUCGUGAGAUGUUGGGUUAAGUCCCGCAACGAGCGCAACCCUUAUUGUUAGUUGCCAUCAUUAAGUUGGGCACUCUAGCGAGACUGCCGGUAAUAAACCGGAGGAAGGUGGGGAUGACGUCAAAUCAUCAUGCCCCUUAUGACCUGGGCUACACACGUGCUACAAUGGUCGGUACAACGAGUUGCGAGCCGGUGACGGCAAGCUAAUCUCUGAAAGCCGAUCUCAGUUCGGAUUGGAGGCUGCAACUCGCCUCCAUGAAGUCGGAAUCGCUAGUAAUCGCGGAUCAGCACGCCGCGGUGAAUACGUUCCCGGGCCUUGUAC
rnacentral:rRNA from 1 species